UACCAUGGUAAAAUUUAGAAUUCAGUUUGGGGGUGAGAAAUCUAGAUUUGAAACCAAUGUGCUAAACUUUAAAUAAGGCGAAUUCACAUGGAAAUGAGAGCAGAAUUGGCUAGGGUGAACUGAAAAAGGAGUUUAACAUAAAAGAUGGGAGCUUGUAAAUGGUAGAGGAGUUGAAUAAAUACUUUGCAUCAGUCUUCUUAGCAGAUGGAAUGUAAUGUGGAAAAAUGUGGGAUAUUGUGCCUUUGCAGAAAGAAUUAGAAGAGCUGAAUAUUACUUACAUGGGAAAAGAUUGCAGAAAGGCAGAAGGGUACAGCACAGAACAAUUUGGAGGUCCUAGUGCACGAAUCACAAAAGGUCAGCAUGCACUUUUGGGAGGUAAUAGGGAAAGGAAAUGGAAUGUAGGCCUCUACUUUCCUUGAACAGUGAAGAGUUGAUUUGCUGAAGUCUGGAAGGAACUAAUGUCUUGGCACAUAUGGCAUAGUGUACCAAUGCAACAGUGGGCAUCAUUAGGCAGUCAGUGGUACUUAAUUCUGAUGAGAUUGUGUUAAUUUUCAAUCAGGGACUAUAUAUAUCCGUAUUUUGUGGAGUAUGAAUUGAAGACUCUAUCUUAACUGGAUAAAAUUCUGUUUUCCUUUAAACUGUAAUUGAGAGAUUGGUAUUUUAGGUCAGCUGAACUAUUGGUGUUGAUGGUUAUUGUGGGAAAAGGGGAAGCUACUGAAUAAUAAAAAAACAAAGUGGCCUUGUUUGAACUUACAUGAUUCUUACUGAUUGAUGUUUCUGUGCAUCGUCUGAGAACAACAUUGGUUGUGGGCUGGCAAAGCUCCAGAAAGCUUCUUUCAUUUCCUUUUGUAGAUCAGCCUUGUUCGGAUUGUGUAUUGCAUUGCCCAGUGUGACAGGUUCCUUUUGCAAUAGUUCAUGGGAAAAUGUAAGUUAUAAAAGAGAUUAAAAAUUUUCAUCUACCACAAGAAGUCCAAACUGAUGCCAUGCCAUGAGGGUUUUUAAAAAUUUGUUCAUGGGCUGCAAGCGUGGCUGGGUGGGUCAUCUCUAAUGACAGUUGAAAGGUAGUGUCUGUCAGGUUUUUGAAGUGCUGCAGUCAGGAAGGGAAUUUCAGGAUUUUGACCCUCAAUGAUGAAGGAAUAGUCGUACAUUAGCGCCUCAAGAUACAGACUGACAUUGCCUUGUGCUUGUGUUGAGUUUUGUUCCAGAGAUUUAGGCUUAAAAUCUAGAUGAGCCUCCAGAAUAAGUGGACAGAAAUGCUUUUCUUGAAUGAGUUGUUAAACCAAAGCUCAAUUUGCCUUCUCAGAAAGAUCUCAUGGCACUACUUCAAUAAAGAGCAGAGGAGAUUGCUUCAUUAUCCUGACCAAUAUUUAUGCCUCAGUCAAAUAUUACUGCCAGUUUAUUUGCUCAUAUUCACGGGAUGUUGUACACAGGUUGGCUUCUUUAUUUUCUACAGUUGCACUUAUGCUUUGAAUGUGCUUCUCAGGCUGUAAAACAAUUUGGGAUUCUUAAGAUACUGAGAUGGUCUAUACAAAUGCAGGAUAGAAUUUUCCAUUUUCAGUUAAAGAGUUUUGCUGAAUGCAAUUCAUGGUGCUCAGUUUGUCAUUACUUGGGGUGACUUUUCUCAUUCAAUCUUCCACUCUUCACUUCAUUACUUACACAACCAAGCUCUUCAGUACCCUCUCAGGGGUUGGCCUGGCACGAAAGGCAGAAAUACCAUCUAAUGUUGGGAUAUUACAACAUUCACGCUCCUGGUGCCAUACUUAAAGUUCAGCUGCACAGCACUUCAGAUACUGCAAACCUGGCUCUGCUCAUCACACUGAAAUGCUCAAUCAAUUUUAAUUGAGGACCUGGCCCAUGCAGAAAGGAAAGCUCACACCUGCUUUGUCCGCAGAGACCUUGAAGUAAUUGUGGAUAGGGUGGUGGAGAGGUGGGCACUCCUUUUUCCAUCUCAUUGCUGCAGCAAUCCACACCACCAGACCCAGUCAGCUUGGACUGAUAGGGUGGUUCAGGUCAGUGCUGUGUUCUGGGGGAUGUGGGACACUCAACAGUGCAGGAAAAAGGUGGAAUAUCUCUUGUGCUCCAUGAGGGUAUGUUAUACCAUAUUCACUCUGCUACCGUUCACUCAUAGGGCCACCACUCACUCUAACUCUAUCACUGCACACAUCUCUCAUCAAGGCUCAUGAACUACAACUCUCACUACUGAAUGCAUCCUGUCCACUCAAUAAUUCCCACCCACCUCAUUCCCCCUAAAGUACUAAUUCAUCCUGACCUCUGCGCUUACUAUCUACUCAGUGGAGACAACUCACACUCUCUUCUGCUCUUGGAUCAUCAUUAACUGCUCUUUCAUCCAUUUCCAUCAGAUUCAAUUUCUCCCUUUUUCUCAUUACCGGAGUCUUUGCCCACCUUGCACAUUUCCACAAUACCCCGACUGAGCUACUGGUCAUGUCAAACUGCAAGGACGUGAAUCCCCAGACUCUGAUAUGAUUAAGCAAUAGCAACUUCCUGAAGUUGAAUUGGAGGGCCCCUUCUCUGACUGUGGCAGUACUCCUUAACUGAUCGGAUCCCCCUUGACCUCAGUAGAUGAAUUUUGCUCCCCUUUGAUUUUUAGGCAUAACUAUUUGCUUGAAGCACAUACAAUAUGUUUUUUGUGUACGUUUUUAGCACAGACUGUAGAUCUGACAUUGAUGUAGCAUGAUAAGUCUACAGACCUUCACUAUUCAAUGCUCUCCAUCAUGACAAGUUUCCUACUUCUCCCUCAGCACUAUAGAGCAAUGCAAGACACAGAGGCUCAACCUAUAACCAGGUAAUGAAGACUGUGUGCAUAAUAAAGAACUGAUGGAAGCAUCCAAGUGAGCACAAAGUGGCUGAGGUCAGCAUGACUUUCAAAUAGGACAGAAUCUCUUAGCUCAGCAGAGGCUGUGCACACAUUUGAUUGACAGUAUUAAGAGGUACAACAUUUUGUACAUUCAAGAGGAAUGGAUCCUGACCCAUCGAUAGUAAUCACUUUUCCGUUUUGCUCCAGACGAAGUAAAAUAGACAUCGGUAACUCUUAAUACUUAUCAAAUACUGAAUCACAAAUACAAAAUAAAACUAGACGUAUGUUAAAAUGAA